rnacentral:rRNA from 1 species
ACGGAAUAGAUACCCAGGUAGUCCACGCCCUAAACGAUGUCUACUAGUUGUCGGGUCUUAAUUGACUUGGUAAACGCAGCUAAACGCGUGAAGUAGACCGCCUGGGGAGUACGGUCGCAAGAUUAAAACUCAAAGGAAUUGACGGGGACCCGCACAAGCGGUGGAUGAUGUGGAUUAAUUCGAUGCAACGCGAAAAACCUUACCUACCCUUGACAUGGAAGGAAUCCCUGAGAGAUCGGGGAGUGCUCGAAAGAGAACCUUUACACAGGUGCUGCAUGGCUGUCGUCAGCUCGUGUCGUGAGAUGUUGGGUUAAGCCCCGCAACGAGCGCAACCCUUGUCAUUAGUUGCUACGAAAGGGCACUCUAAUGAGACUGCCGGUGACAAACCGGAGGAAGGUGGGGAUGACGUCAAGUCCUCAUGGCCCUUAUGGGUAGGGCUUCACACGUCAUACAAUGGUACAUACAGAGGGCCGCCAACCCGGCGAGGGGGAGCUAAUCCCAGAAAGUGUAUCGUAGUCC